rnacentral:rRNA from 1 species
ACGAACGCUAGCGGCGUGCCUAAUGUAUGCAAGUCGAGCGGGCAGAGAGGGACUUCGGUCUCUCUGCUAGCGGCAAACGGUUGAGUGACCACGUCGGCAACCUGCCCGGAAGUGGGGGACAACCACUGGAAACGGUGGCUAAUACCGCAUGUGGAUGAGGGAGACAUCUCCCUUCUCUAAAGCAGCAAUGCGCUUCUGGAGGGGCCCGGGCCGGCCUAUCAGCUCGUUGGUGGGGUAACGGCCUACCAAGGCGACGACGGGGAGCUGGUCUGAGAGGACGAACAGCCAGACAGGGACUGGGAAACGGCCCUGACUCCUUUGGGGGGCAGCAAUGAGGGAUAUUGCGCAAUGGGGGAAACCCUGACGCAGCGACGCCGCGUGGGCGAGGAAGUUCUUCGGAAUGUAAAGCCCUUUUUCUCCAGGAUGAGAGAGGACAGUACUGGAGGAAUAAGCCCCGGCUAACUACGUGCCAGCAGCCGCGGUAACACGUAGGGGGCAAGCGUUGUCCGGAUUUACUGGGCGUAAAGCGCGUGUAGGCGGUUCGUUAGGUCCUAUCGUGAAAGGGCAGGGGCUCAACCCCCUGGAUUGCGAGGGAAACCGGCGGGCUGGAGAGAGGCAAGAGGAAGGUGGAAUGGCUGGUGGAGCGGUGAAAUAGCGUAGAGAUCAGUCGGAACAACCCAAGGCGAAGGCCAGCCUUCUGGGCCUCAUCUGACGCUGUGAACGCGAAAGCGUGGGGAGCGAACGGGAUUAGAUACCCCGGUAGUCCACGCCGCCGUAAACGAUGGUCACUAGGUGUGGGAGGUAUCGACCCCUUCCGUGCCGGAGCCAACGCAAUAAGUGACCCGCCUGGGGAGUACGGCCGCAAGGUUGAAACUCAAAAGGAAUUGAACGGGGGGCCCGCACAAGCCGGUGGAGCAUGUGGAUUAAUUCGAUGCAAACGCCGAAGAAACCUUACCAGGGCCUUGACAUGUCCGGAAUCCCUUGGAAAACGAGGGAGUGCCUUCGGGAGCCGGAACACAGGUGGUGCAUGGCUGUCGUCAGCUCGUGUCGUGAGAUGUUGGGUUAAGGUCCCGCAACGAGGCGCAACCCUCGUCUUUAGUUGCCAAUAUUAAGUUAGGCACUCUAGAGAGACUGCCGGUGACAAAACCGGAGGAAGGUGGGGGAAUGACGUCAAGUCAGCAUGGCCCUUACAGUCCUGGGCUGACACACGUACUACAAUGCGACGGACAAUAGCGAGCCGAAGCCAGCGAUGGCAGAGGCAAUCUCCAAUAAACGUGAGCCCAAGUUCAGGAUCGCAGGCCUGCAACUCGCCUGCAUUGAAGCCGGAAUCGCUAGUAAUGGCGCAUCAGCUACGGCGCCGUGAAUACGUUCCCGGGCCUUGUACACACCGCCCGUUCACAUCAUGGAGUCACUUGCACCCGAAGUACACAAUUUCUGUGUCCUACGGUAUGAGUGGUAACUGGAUGAAGUCGUAACAAGGUAAC